AAAAAAAGCUGGUGGAGCCGUUCAUUGCCACCAUGUCACUAUCCACCUCCUUUGCACUGAAACCAAAGUUUCCUACUGGCCAAGGAUGCCCAUAAAGCAGGAAAUAAUCCUUGAAGGCCAAUUCCAGUUCCUUUGGAAACCAAGUGAAUAAAACAGCUAAGAAUGGUGUCUGCUUUGGAGCACUUCCCCUCCUAGCCUAGUGGCAUGGUGGCUGUGAGGAUGUGGUACAUCCUCUCCUUCUGCCUCCUCCAGUAUGGCCAAAGCAGAGUUAAGCCUCCUCUUCUCUUCCCCCCACUAAAAGUGCAUGACGGGAUUCUCUUUUCUGCCUCUCCCUCCUCUCUCCAGAGCUGUGUGUUUGAAAUGAUAUCUAUUUCUCUUUGUGACAGCACACCGUGACUGCUGCCUUGACAUUCUCCCAAGCUGACAUCCCGACCGGUAUGACACUGAUGCCUUUGGGCAGAAAUCAGAGCCGGUUUGCUACAUGCCUCCAUGUAGCCAUGAUGCCUGUAGCGCCUCUGAGAGCCCCCAGUGCCCUGGUGGGGAAAUGGAGCGAGCACGUGGGCCCCAGAUGAACUCCAGGGAGAGAGCAGGCAUUAUCCAUGGUGAUCCUGCUACUAGUUUCCAGUUGUCUGUUUCACUGCAGCCUUGCAGGAGCCACUCACCUCCAUGUUGUUACCGAGCCAACAGGCCACCUCCUCGGCCAGGAGAAUUACCCCCAAAGGCUCCAGCAGCUCCAAGAAAGACCUCACCCAAACUGCCCACCCAACAACCAGCGCGUUGAGAGACAGAUUAUUUGGGAAUCCUCUGCCUUCCCACAAUGCCCUCUGUAGGCUCCAGAGGAACAGAGCAGGAGGUUCCCAGUGCGUGGGGAGCAGAGCUGGGGCUGCGUGAUCCCAUCGGUGCCAGGUGCCCAGGGCAGAUCCACAGUGACGAGGUAAGCUCCGAGGUGCCGUCAGCAUGCUUCCUGUCUCAGACAGGGGUGCUUUCGUGCUGACAAUGCUUUUAAUUAUUUGUUGGAAGAUUUUGAGAGCACCUAAGGUAACAGAGAGGCCUCAAUCAGUGUUUCCUAGCUGAAGGCAUCUGUGUGCCUUGCCUUAGUCAUAGGUGAGUCUUGCAUCAAGAGCGAGGCCAGUGCCAGGCACCUGGGUGGGUCCUUGUGGGCUCUGAUAGUGGGUCUCAGUGUCUGCAGCUCCAUGUGUUGGGGUUUGCACCAAGAGCUGUGGAGUCUGCAGGGAAGUGGCUUUUUCUCCUAAAUCAUGGCAUUACCACAGCGUGGUGUGCUUCGCCUUGUGGGGAACGUGUGAAAUCUGCUUUGUGGUAGCAGCGGUGCAGCUCUGAAAGAAGAGACUUUGGCUCGCCAAGCAGAGCCACGCACUGCAGCUCUGUGCUGGGCUUUUCGACCUGCACAAUGCAAUCACUGAUGCUCAAGAGCCAUUCAAUGUCAGUACUUGACCUGGGGUUGAGUCUCCGCUGUUUCUAUUUCCCUGCAAGAAAAUAUCAGCAGAUGCCUCUGACAAACCAAACCAGUGCUUCCAAGCGGGAAAAAAUUCAAAAGAAACAGAUUCACUUCCCUGCAUGACCUCAGUCCUGCUCUCAUUUGGGCAAACUGUGUAAGGAGCUAGUCCAGUUUUUUUUCGUAUUCUGAGAACGCAUCACGUGGUGCAGUGUGUUACACCGCAAGGCAAAUACAGCAGUGCAGGGCAGAUGUUGCCACAUCACUGGAGAAGCAGAGCAGCUGAGAACUGGCACCAGGACAAACACAGUGCUGACAUCUCGGCCCAGCACUGUCCCCUGUUCCCUGCAGCUGCCGUCCCUCUGCUGCCCCAUCUCCAGCCCUCCUGUGUCCUCACAUCCUCUGCAAGAGACUUGGGGCACUGAUAUUUCUCCAGCCUUAGUGACCACUGCUGACCACUGCAGAAGGACAGUUCCACUUCUCUUUGACAUCUGGGGAUGCUGCAUGGGGAAGAGAUGGAGAAGCUCUCAUUAGGUGGCACAGAUUGCACAUGGGCAGCGCUGAUGAGCUCCACAUCUCUUUGCUCGCGCCCACCCUGCAAAUGCACUGAGUGAUUUCUUAUGUUUUAAGCUGUGUAAUUGCUAGGGAAAAUCCUUUUCUAUGUCUUUUCCUUUAUUGUCAUGUUUAAGAAGUUCUUUUGUAUGUCAUAACAUUUUGUCUGUUUUUACUGAAACGGUUCCACGAAGGAACGAUUGUUUGCACAAACAGACUGACAUGUUGAUACAGGCUGACAACUGCACAGCUAAGACCAAAAUAAAAUGUAAAGUAAACACA
rnacentral:lncRNA from 1 species